rnacentral:misc_RNA from 1 species
CGUGCUUAGUUAUGGAUCUUGUUACUUCAAUGAUCGGUGUUUCUUGAAAUGCAUCAGUGCCUAUCAUGCGACGAGGAACUUGUCCAGUAAUGGCAACGAGCGGGACACUAUCGAGCAGUGCAUCGGCAAGUCCACUGACGAAGUUAGUGGCACCAGGGCCGGAGGUGGCAAUGCAAACUCCAACGCGCCCAGAAGCUUUGGCGUAGCCCUCAGCAGCAAAGAUUCCACCUUGCUCAUGUCUUGGUAGAAUAUUACGGAUUACAUUGGAGCGGGUGAGAGCUUGAUGAAUCUCCAUGGAAGCUCCUCCUGGGUAUCCAAAAACGUGAGUCACUCCCUCACGUUC